GAGGUAUUAGUAAAAAUUACAUAACUUUGUCAAAGUUAAAUUAUAG
rnacentral:tRNA from 1 species